rnacentral:rRNA from 15 species
CCGGGUCCGUGUGAAGCUCCUUCGACGACUCGAGUUGUUUGGGAAUGCAGCUCUAAAUGGGUGGUAAAUUUCAUCUAAAGCUAAAUAUUGGCCGGAGACCGAUAGCGCACAAGUAGAGUGAUCGAAAGAUGAAAAGCACUUUGAAAAGAGAGUUAAAAAGCACGUGAAAUUGUUGAAAGGGAAGCGCUUGCGACCAGACUC